rnacentral:rRNA from 1 species
CAUGCAAGUCGAACGAGAAAUUCCGAUUCGUCGGAAGAGUAGAGUGGCGAACGGGUGAGUAACGCGUGGGUAAUCUGCCCUUGAGUUCGGGAUAACUUCGCGAAAGCGGAGCUAAUACCGAAUAAAACUGACCUUGUCCCGGCAAGAUCAGUAAAAGAUGGCCUCUACAUGUAAGCUGUCGCUUAAGGAUGAGCCCGUGUACCAUUAGCUUGUUGGUAGGGUAAUGGCCUACCAAGGCAACGAUGGUUAGCUGGUCUGAGAGGAUGAUCAGCCACACUGGAACUGAGACACGGUCCAGACUCCUACGGGAGGCAGCAGUGGGGGAUUUUGCGCAAUGGGGGAAACCCUGACGCAGCGACGCCGUGUGAGUGAUGAAGGCCUUCGGGUCGUAAAGCUCUGUCAGGUGGGAAGAAAUAUCUCGAUACGAAUAAUAUCGGGGUUUGACGGUACCACCAAAGGAAGCACCGGCUAACUCCGUG